rnacentral:rRNA from 1 species
CGAAGUUGGAAUUGCUAGUAAUCGCGGAUCAGCAUGCCGCGGUGAAUACGUUCCCGGGUCUUGUACACACCGCCCGUCACACCAUGGGAGCUGGUAACACCCGAAGUCAGUAGUCUAACCGCAAGGAGGACGCUGCCGAAGGUGGGAUUAGCGACUGGGGUGAAGUCGUAACAAGGUAUC